CCUUCUAAACUUGGUUAGGUUCUUUUCGAAGUGCUUGACUCCAUUAUUCCUUAUAUACCUUUGGUACCUUUUGACAAACAAUCACAUGUCCUCAUCAUCGGAGUUCUUGUCAUCUCUUAUUUUCACAAUCACUUUGCUCAAUAUGUGAAGGCUUUGAGCUUUAAGUCUUUAGAGCAAUAGACUUAUUCUUUUCCACCUUGUAUUUACCUUUCUCUUUCUUUACCUUCAUCUCAUGUUUUUUUCAUGUUUUUCCAAGCAAGAGAGUUAUUGCUCACAUUCUUCCAAUUUUCCAAACAAAGUAGUGAGAUCAAGUACUUUAAGAUCAUUUGCCUCCUUGAUUGCGGUGACUUGGGUUAUCAUUCCCUAUUAAGACACCUCAAAACCUUAUUAGUAGCAAUAUCAUUGGAAAUAGCCUUACCUAGAUCACUCAAGCGGUUAAUAAGAUGUGUGAACCUUUUUUGCAUUUCAACAAUGGUUUCACCAUGCUUCAUACGAAAGAGUUCAAACUCUUGAUUCAAUGUGUUGAUCCUAGAUUUUUUGACCUCAUUAGUUCCCUCAUGGGUAACUUGUAAUGCGUCCCACAUAGCCUUGGCGGUUUCACAAUGGGAAACACUAUAAAAUUCAUCAACAUCGAGUGCUGAUAUGCGAAUGUUUUGUGCUUUCCAAUCGUAAGACCAUAAUUUCUUAUCAUUAUCAUUUCAUUGAUUUUCCGGUUUUGGUACGACGACGCCUUCACCAUUGGUCAUUGUAAUUUAAUUUAGGACCAUUGAUGAUGAUGUCCCAUACACCCUUAUCAACUGAAUUGAUAUAGAUACACAUAUAAGCUUUCCAAUAGCCAUAGUUUUUGCCGGUGAAAAUUGGUGCUCUAUUGUACGCCCUUUUAGGUUCGAUAGCCAUUUUAUAAUAAGCAAAUCUUAAGCAUGGAAUUAACUGGAUCUCGUGAUACCACUUGUUAGACGAUAGGCUUAGAUCUAGAUGAGGGUGAAUAGAUCCCGAGUUAAAAACUUCGACAAAAAUAUGCCUGCAUUGGUUGAUUUUUGCAUGUUAAAAACUUUCCUGAGCUACGGAAUGCACUUCCGUAUUAUGUCUAUAUUGGUUGAUUUUUGCAUGUUUGUCAUAUAGGUUUGCUUUUUUUUGCUUUGUAUUCUUUGUCUAGUUUAACUAUAGGUAAAAUGGUUGACAACUAAGAUUGAUUGAGGCACGAUAGAAUGUCCCAGGAAAUAUAUGUUCGUAAGGAGAGAGCUAGACUCUUGCGACCAUCUGUUGGUGCCAAUUCAUUUAAUACAAAAGUGUCCACUUCUAAAUUUCAAUUGUCUUCGACCUCAUAUUCCUAGAGGCAAGUGUCACUUGUUGCUGCCCCAGAAGUCCCACUAGUCCAUGUUGAUGCACGUGAUGUCGAUGGUGUCAUUCAUGAAGUUGUUCCUGAGGUUUUUAGAGGAGACUCGUAUGACACUUCACUACAUCCUCUACAUGUUACAUAAUGACAUUAGAGAGAGAAAAAAUUAAAAUAACCACUUUUUUCAAAAAAAAUCUAAAAUAAUCAAUAUUUCAAAAAAAAUCCAAAAUAACCACCUUUCAAAAUAGAUGCACUAGAUGAACUGGCGCAUCCAUUUUGAACCAAGAGGAGGCGCCAACACCACUGUCGCAUGCUUUAAAAGCAAUGCAUGGUGGCUCCAAGGGUGUUAGCGCAUACAUGUACUUGCAUGUGCUUGCGCCCAUGCUUCUGGCGCCUACAUGUGUUGAUAUGUGUGGCGCCUAGCCCUUUGGCGCAUGCAUUUUCAUACUUCUUCUAUAAAUACCUCGUCCUUCAACCAUAUUUUUCACACAACUUUUACCCUAUAACCACAUUUUCUUUCAGUCAACUUCAAUCUCCUUCAAGCUUUUGAGUUUUAACCAUGUCUGAAUACAUUCACAAGUGAAAUGUCGAUUUACUCUUUUCCGUCGUUGCGUCUCCGAUAAAGAUUCGACUUUGGAAUAUAGAUUCGUUUGAACGUCUUAAUCGGACAUUGAACAGUUGGUUAGAUGGAGAAAUUGGAGAUGGUGAAAGGAUUAGAAGAAUCCAAUGGCUUGUGUCCACGUUCAACCAAAAUGGAGAAGUGCGUGAAUCAGUGGGUAUUAAGACUGACAGAGAUGUUCAUAGGAUGAUGCAUUACAUGUUCAAAAUUGUUUUGAUGGUUGUAAUCGCUUAGUUAUUGUAAUGGUAUUUUAAUUAUUUUAGUUGUUUGUGUUGUUGUUUAUAUAAUGGUAUUUCCUCACAAACUUAUAAUAUGAAAUAAAAUUAGUUUUUUUAUAUAUUGCAACAGAGGUACAUGUGAAUUUAUCUUGUUGUGCUCGUUCCAACACUAUGACAGUUAGUACGAUUGUGACCUGGCUGACAGCAUGAACUACAUAAUCAAACCAUUUUGUUCGCCAUAUCCAUUUCGGUUCGAAUACUGGUGUUGUUUGACAACCUUCUUCUGCAACAUUUUGUCUUUGAUCUCCCGCAUAAAAUUAUGAGCAAUAUGUCUAAUACAUAAGACAUGCGUCGAAGGAGAAUCCUGUCAGUCAUUAUCAAUGUUAUCAUAUGCACUGAUGAUUGAAGGGUGUCUGUCGGAGAUCAAACAUAAGUUAGGUUGGGGUGCAACGUGCAACCAGAGAUUUCUUAGGAAAAAACUUCAUCCCUCAGCAAUCUCCCCUUCAACAAGGGCAAAGGCGAUUGGAAAAAUAUUGUUAUUAUCAUCUUGUGCCACUGCCAUUAGUAACGUUCCUUUGUAUUUCCCGUACAACCAUGUACCAUCAAUUUGUAUAAUAGGUUUACAAAAAAAAAACCUUUGAUGCAUGGUUGAUACGCCUAGAAGAGACGGUGGAAUUAUUGGGUGCCCCUUUGUGUGAUGACCAAACUGAGGGAGAGUCAUCCGGUCAAGUUAGGGGGAAAGGUAUAAAUUUAAAAUAUCUUAAACAAUAUUAUGAGAAUAUAAUAUUGUCCGAAGAAUCAACCGAGUACAAAAAAAUAGUUAAAGCUCGGUGUUAUAUUAUGAUUUUAUUUGGUAAUUUUUUAUUUCUAGAAAGUACUAGUAAUACAGUAAAUAUUAUGUAUUUAUCGUUAUUACACAACAUUAAUAAGGUAAGCACAUAUAGUUGCGGUUCAGCUGUGCUGGCCCAUCUAUAUAGUGCAAUAUGUAAAAAUUCCAAAAAAAAAUACUUGUACUUUUUAUUCAUGUGCGUAUUUGCUACAAGCAUGGGGUUGGUCAAGAAUGUCGCCAUUCACCCCUGAUAAACGAGAAGCCAUUCAUAUUUCUGUUUGCAACAAAGUAAGUUUAAAACUUUACCAUACAAUUAAUUAUACUUUAUAUUACUAUUAACUGUACAUGAUAUUUAUCAAUUGUCUAUGAUCUAGGUGGUCAGUUAGAGGGAUGAACUACAAUGGAUGUCUGAAACACGUUAUAGUAGUCUAUCGCAAUCUAUUGGAUCACAUUGGACCAGACGAUGUAAUACUCCUACACAACUCUGUUUUAAUUUAAACAUACUUAUCAAAUUAUUUAUCAUCUAAUCGUGUCGUAUUGUUGUACAGUUUAUCUGGAGGUCAUAUAUGGGUCUUAAUCAUCAGGUUAACCAUGAUGAUGCUGCAGUUUGGACAGCAAAGACACCAAUUAUUCGGUUCACUACUGUGGAGAUGCACUAGAGUGAUCGGGUAAAACUGCAGUUCGGCAUGCAACAACAGAUUCCAGAACCUUCGACGUGUUUGGGAGAUUGGCAUCAAAAAAAAGUCGAUACCCAAUGGGAUUAUUCUGACUGGAGAGACUCCGCAAAAGAGAUGUGUCGUCAUUGGAGGAAUCGACGACAACACAUCUUAAACGAACUAGUCAUACAUGGUGCUAGACCAACUCAACAAUAUAUGACAUGGUUUAGGUCAGUAACAACGCAACAAUUUGUGUCUGAACCACGGUAUUUGAUUGAUCCACGCCAACUAGUUUCGUCAUCAUACGCCCAACAACAAGUCCCCGUCCAACACCAAUGUCAAACCACCCAAACCCAACAACCAACCUCACACCAUCAACCUACCACAUACACCCAACAACCAAAUGCCCAACUUCGCAACACAUUCAUGCCACCCACCCAACAACUAAACACCCAACCUCGCAAUCCAUUCAUGCCACCCACCCAACCAUAAAACCAAGAAUCAAACUCUACCUACCAACAACCAUACUUAUCAACCACAACCAUCUAUAGCCCAGAUGAUUCAUAUGGGUCACUUCAUCGUAGCCCCCCACCAAUGACCAUCCAAACAUCCCAUCACCAAAAUACUCAACCAUUGUUUAACUAUAGUACACCCCAAUAAUCAUUUCUUCGUUUCCAAAAUGAUUCAAUGUCCCAAUUCUGGCAACUAUACCGUCCAUAAUUCACCCAACCACAUCGACCCAACUAUGACAACAUGGGCACCGAACUACAUUACGGAAGCGUUGUUGGCCAGAGCCCCCGAGCUAUUGGGAACAAAUGAUGACACGUCUAUCAAAUACUGCUAGCACUUCCGCCGGACCUUCACAACAGUCAUCAUUGGAUCAAGUCAGCACGCAAAGACCCCAAACACCUUAGGAAAAUCGUGGGAGACCUUGAAGACAAACUAACGCACCUGGUGUCAUACCCCAAUUUUGUCCGGGCAUAUUUAAAUUUUCAUAGAAUUGAUUUCAUUUUUAUUUUACAUCAUAUGCAUAGCAUGACAUACGUUCCAUCAUGAACAAUACCUAAAAUAUCAGUCAGAAUAAAUUUAUUGAAAAUACAGACAAAUCGGUUGAAUCAUUCCUCAAGAACAUGCAAAAUCAGCGGGUAAAAAGUUUCAAAUUUAAAAUUACAGACACCAAUACUAUUAAUCUACGGUUCACGUAGUUUAACCUGGUGUGCUCGUUGUAUUUUUCAGCGACUAUUUCGGUCGCAUUUUGAUCCGUCUGAGCCUUUUAACCGGUGCAAAUUUAUUUCAGAAUAUGAAGAAACGCUGUAUUUUUUCAAUAAGUAUAUUUUAUGCUGAUCAUUUUAGUGUGACCAAUUUAAUUUUCCGAGUAAAUUUGUACUCGGUUUCUAUUUCUAAUUGGUCAAUUUUGUUUUGGUUUAGUUAUUAAUUAAAAGUAAUUUAAGUUUAUUUGAAUCAAAUAUUAAAUAAAAAUUUUAGGAGUUUAUUUUCUUAAAGGAAUAAUAAUUUAAUGAAAAAAUAUAUUUGGUACAUUGGAUCCUGCCAACUGGUAUCCACUCACAUGUCUCCUCACGCAGCCACCUAUCACUGUCCUCACGCCUCCCUACUCAGCUACCAACACAUCUCUCUCAAUCACUCAGCUACCAACAGCUCUCUCUCUGUCCACUAUUUCACUCAUCCUUAUCCUCUCUUUCACACGGCACCAAUUCACUCACCACAAACAAAAUUCAUUCACACACACAUUUCUCUGAACCUCUCUUCUCUCUCUACUCUACGAAAAAAAAGAAAAAUAAGAAGAGGAUUUUCCUCUUCAUCUCUUCAUCGCCUCCACCACCCAAAACCACCCUAACAGCCACCAUUCACCGCCGAAAUCCACCGAUUAACCUCCACCCACUAAAACCCCUUCACCAACAACUCCAUCGCUUCACCUUCAAAUCGCUAUCUUCAACCCCUAAAUCAACCCGCCACUCACAAAUCGAAAACCCUCGAGAUUAACCUCCACCCACUAAAACCCCUUCACCAACAACUCCAUCGCUUCACCUUCAAAUCGCUAUCUUCAACCCCUAAAUCAACCCGCCACUCACAAAUCGAAAACCCUCGCCGCUCAAGCCACCAUCGACCAACGACCUUCUGCUCUCUCCGCCGUAGACCGGUCCAUCACCAUUUCUUCAAGAUCCUUCCUAUCACCGGUAAUCGCAGAAUAAAACCCAACGGCGCUUCGGCAUUUAGCUCGGAUCUAGAUUCUCGGUGACUUAAGGAUAUUUGGGAGUAUUUGAUUCGCAACGGUAGCUUGAAGAAGACAGUGUCGCGACUUAUCUUCAAAAAGCUCAAGGUUGGAGUAUGGUUUUUCUGUUGUACGCGAACGAAGCAACACGAAGCAACGCCGAAACCACAAUGGUUUGAGGAUGUUGAAAGGGUUGGUAUUAGCAGUUGAUGCGGUCUGCUAAGGAUGCAGUAACUCGGUGUAAAAGCAACAUCGCUCGCAAGCCAAGGAUGCAACAACAACGGUUCUGUUAUUUGGUAACUCCUUUGUUCAAGAACUCAUCACAUUUUUGAGAUGUUUUUUUUUUAUUUGAAUCAUUUUAUGUUGGAAUACGUUGAUAUUAUGGAUAGACUUUGUGUGAUAUAUACUGCGUUGUUAACAUUGCAACAACCACCUCCAAGAAUUUGGUAAUCUUUAAAUCCUUUGGUUUUGUUUGCAUUAUAAUUGCCAUUGUUGUGCAUUGGGAUUUGCCGUAUCGACUUGUUAACUUCUCGUUAAUAUUCCGGCCUUUCGUAACAUAACCUGUUUUGGUUAAAUUUAUGAUUAAGAAUUGUGAUUCUGCAUAAGCUACAGUCUUGUGCAUCCGAUUGGUUUUGAUAAUAUGUUGUGUAGUUAAGUGUUGAAUAUUUUGACGAAAUUCUGAAAUUUCUGUUCAACUCACUGCAUCCGUCUUGUUUACUCUUUGAUAAAAGUUGAAUAUUUGAUAAAAAUUCUGCUAUGAAUUUAAUACAUUUGGCUAAAAAUUAUGCUAUGAAUUUAACACAUUUGGUUAAAAAUUCUGCUAUAGUAAUAAUACAUAUUUUUAGUUGUUACUAUACUUCAGUUUUAUUUUGAUAUAGCAGGUGAGUUACAUUGCCAUGUUUUAUCUCGUAAGUCCAUUUGGCCUGAGUAUUUGAGUUUUAAUUAUGCACAUGUGAUCGGAAUUUCAAUUUAAGAUCGUGUCUGUUUGCAAAUUCAUUUGUGUUGAAACUUAAACUUUUGAAUUGAUUCCGUAGAUUGUUUUAGUUGCAGUCAUUUGAUUUUGGGGUAUGUCAAUUAAAAAACUAUGGAUUUUAUUUUGGGGUAUGUCAAUUGAAAAACCAGGGAUAUAUGGAAUGGUUACUAUAUUGGAAUUAAAGAUAGUUUCUAGCAUGAUAUAAAUUCCAAGGUUUAAACUUAUUCUUGCAUUAUUCCAACUUUUGAGUCAAUUAGUCUUUCUUCUAGUUAAGGGGAAUAUGGAUAAUAUUAAUUAUAAUAUUAUGAUUAUAUUAAUUAAUAUUGUAGUUAUAUUGUCAAUUAAGGGUUAAAGAGUGUGAUUAUGUUGAUAAAUAAUUGUUAAAAAAAAUUAAUUUUAAUCAACUUUAU
rnacentral:lncRNA from 1 species